rnacentral:rRNA from 1 species
CGGCGUGCCUAACACAUGCAAGUCGUACGAGAAAGUUGGCUUCGGCCGAUGAGUACAGUGGCGCACGGGUGAGUAACGCGUGGAUAAUCUGCCCUUAAGUGUGGAAUAACGUACCCGAAAGGUGCGCUAAUACCGCAUAAUGCCUGGCAACAUAAGUUGUCCGGCCAAAGAAGGCCUCUGCUUGCAAGCUUUCGCUAAAGGAUGAGUCCGCGUACCAUUAGCUAGUUGGUGGGGUAACGGCCUACCAAGGCGACGAUGGUUAGCUGGUCUGAGAGGAUGAUCAGCCACACUGGAACUGAGACACGGUCCAGACUCCUACGGGAGGCAGCAGUGAGGAAUAUUGCGCAAUGGGGGCAACCCUGACGCAGCAACGCCGCGUGAGUGAGGAAGGUUUUCGGACUGUAAAGCUCUGUCGAGCGGGAAGAAGUGUACCAUGGCUAAUAUCCAUGAUAUUUGACGGUACCGCUAGAGGAAGCACCGGCUAACUCCGUG